rnacentral:rRNA from 1 species
GACGAACGCUGGCGGCGUGCUUAACACAUGCAAGUCGAACGGAAAGGCCCUGCUCUUGUGGGGUGCUCGAGUGGCGAACGGGUGAGUAAAACGUGAGUAACCUGCCCUUGACUUUGGGAUAACUUCAGGGAACUGGGGCUAAUAUCGGAUAGGAGAUCCUGAUGCAUGGUGGGGGUUGGAAAGUUUCGGCGGUUGGGGAUGGACUCGCGGCUUAUCAGCUUGUUGGUGGGGUAGUGGUUUACAAAGGCUUUGACGGGUAGCCGGCCUGAGAGGGUGACCGGCCACAUUGGGACUGAGAUACGGCCCAGACUGCUACGGGAGGCAGCAGUGGGGAAUAUGGCACAAUGGGCGGAAGCCUGAUGCAGCGACGCCGCGUGCGUGAUGACGUCCUUCGGGUUGUAAACCGCUUUCGCCUGUGACGAAGCGGGAGUGACGGUAAUGGGUAAAGAAGCACCGGCUAACUACGUG